GAGUGAGGAUUCAGCUUCGAUCACACUACUGUAAUCCCAUACUCCAGGGUCUGUGAGCUCGGAAGGUGGACAGUGCUGAGGGGCUUUCAUGUCACAGUCUGAUGAGAACAGACAUGACCACUAGCGAUAAUUAAUCGCCACAGAAUGCCGCUGUCUGCCAGUGGUUAUUAACAAGCUGCAUUCCACACACGUGGCUGUGAAUCUCUUUUGAUUGAUGACAUCGGCUUCUCACUGCAGGGGGAUGUGAUUGGACACAGUCAGUGGGAUUCCUGUGACCUCUGACUGAGCGGCUGAAUCUCUGCGCGGAGGAAAGACACAGCUGUUCCACUCUGAACAUCAGACUGACACACAGACAGCUUCCACUCCCUGUGGGAAAAUCCUCCAAUCCUCAACCAAUCCUCCUUCCAUUCAUUAUCCAUUCAGAAAGGUGCUUAGUCCUGGUGAAGCUGGGGGCAGCCAGAUCUCCAUUAAUGGAAUAACAGGAUGGAUGUUUUUUCUCCUUAGACACUACCAUUACGUUUGCGAAACCACCUCUCUAAAAGCACCAUUCAUCCCCUCCAGAGUGGGAGCUCCACCAGCAGGGGAGGAAAAGACGCAGACAUACCCCAUUGACCACGUGGGUUUCCGCUGGCAGUGGUAUGAGCACAAGGACCGCUGUGUCCCAGGUGCAAGGCUGAAUCUCACACCUGUUAAAAGGAGCAAGGCUGAGCAGAGGAGCGGAAAACUGGCUGCCCUCUACCAGGGAAGAUGACCAGGCCAGAGGACAGAGGAAACCUGCCGUAUCCCAGCAGAAUGAUACUGACCAACACGCCAGCGUAGCAGCUGCUGACCUAAAGAACAGCAUGAACUAACAAGCUGCUCAGCUCCAUACUAUGUGACACAUAAAGAAAACACACGACGUCUCCUCUGAAAAGACGCUUAUUGGUUAGAUACGUCUGUAGAUGAAAAGGGAGUAUAAACCGUCACUAAAAUAAUAAUCAGACAGGACUUGGGGUACUUAUUUCACAGACAACACUGCAGCUACAACCCAGGUCGUCUGGUAAACCAACAAUUUCCUGAGAAAUAUUUGAACAGUGGGAAUAAAAGUGAAAGUUGCAAUGACACAUUAGUCAUAAAUCACUCUUUAUCUUCUUGUGAAAUACCCUACCUCCAGGAAACAUGGUAAUAAAACCCAAUAGGGGCUAUAAACACCUCCUAGAGUUUCUCUGUUGCCUUUGGGUUCAAUGCUGCCGAACCCUCCACAGCCAAGAGUCACGUCUCACGGGAGCCUCUGGCUGGGGUUAAUGAGUGUGUCAAGGAGCUGUUACACAGGGAUCACUGAAAAUGCAAUAAAUCACCUCUGGCAGCAGCACUGUGAGGAAAAUAACAUUGAAUGGCGUAUUCUCUUGUGGAAAAUGAAGUGUUUCAGUAUCACUGUACAGGAAGGGGCUCCAUCCCACAGUAUAUCCCAGUCCUGCAGGUAUGAUAGAUC
rnacentral:lncRNA from 1 species